UCAUCUAGGAAUAGAAUUCUAAAUGGAAAAAAAAUUUUUCUUCAACAUUUUGAAGGUAUUAUUUCAUGGCAUUUGAAAGCAAUGUCGCUGGCAUCCAGUGUCGCUACUGACAGUUUUUCAAAGCUGUUUUGAAUAAUAGCCUCUUCUUGUUUAAUGGAAGCAACAUCUUAUCUCUAAGCAAGCACGGUGACCAUAUUUUCCAUAGAAUCAGGACACAUUAUCUGACAAGUGAUUUAUGGGCAGCCUCCAGGUGCAAAAAGGAGUCGGUGUUAUAAAAGUUUCAACAUCAAAAUAUUGGAACUCCAAGGAUAGCUGGAUGACUUUACUGGAAAAAGUGAGAAUACUUUAAGUCAGAAUGGCUCACAACAAUCUGGGAUGACAGCACCUUUACCACUAACACAGGUUAUGAUUUUGUUUAUUCCAGGCACAUUUGGCACCACUCCCUGUAAGACUGUGAGUUACUCAAGAGGGGGAACUAGACAGUACACCUCUUUUGAAGUUCUCUCCAUACCCAGCAUGACUACUAAAUCCACUACUGAGUGGAUGGAUGGUUGGCUGAUCUCUCUUCUCUCCCAGCUCAAGUGUCAUUUCAGAGACACCUUUCUUGAUUUCCCAAAUGAGGCCAUGCUGUUAUGUUCUCAUGGCACUGUGUGUUCUUCCUUCAGGGUCUUAUCACACUGUAUCAUUCAUUCUAUGCAUGGUUACUCUCAUCUGUCCCAGCAAUAGGCUGUAUCUGCUGCCCCCAGAAAGAACUAUAAUGGUUUGGUUCACCGAUGAAUCACCAACUGCUAGCACUCUGCUUGGCACACACUAGGUGAUCAAUAAUAUGUAUUUUUAAAUUAAUGACACAGUCUCUUUGGUAGGUCCCAGGACUCCAUAUUUCUCCCUUGCAUCAACAUUUUUAUUAAUUACUUGAAUGAAGAUUACACAAGUCUGCUCAGGAGAACUGAAGUUGGCAUCAAUACUGGCCCCCAGAGAGCUGCAGAGCAUAACAUGUUAGCUAACAGAAUCAACAUUCUAAAGGACCAAAGGUCCAAAUAAAUAGAAAUGAAAAAAGAACAAGUCAUGUGAAGGUUCUAAAUCCUCAACUAGGCAAAAUCUGAGGUGGCGGUAGCUCACAUGUAAAAGGAGCUGGGCCAAAGUCUCCUAAAUGUUACUCACUCUCAAGCCACUAACAAAGCACAGUGUCCAAAUAAGGAGAAGGCAGUCCCAUUCAGCCUGACCACCAGAUACAAGUGCCACACAUUAAUGGAACACUGAUGAGGGGGCUCAUGAUCUGCAAAGUGGUCACUGCCCUGUUGGCACCUUGUAGGUGUUCAACAGAAAUUUACUGAAGGAACAUAGAGAUUAACUGAUGG